CGUCUUGCCAAGAAAGUGCGAAUGCAGAUUUGGGGAGUCCCGCACGCCUUGACUAGUCGUUCGGACGCUAAGGCGAGC
rnacentral:sRNA from 1 species